rnacentral:rRNA from 1 species
AUGAACGCUAGCGACAGGCUUAACACAUGCAAGUCGAGGGGCAGCACAGGUAGCAAUACCGGGUGGCGACCGGCGCACGGGUGAGUAACGCGUAUGCAACUUACCUAUCAGAGGGGGAUAACCCGGCGAAAGUCGGACUAAUACCGCAUGAAGCAGGGGCCCCGCAUGGGGAUAUUUGCUAAAGAUUCAUCGCUGAUAGAUAGGCAUGCGUUCCAUUAGGCAGUUGGCGGGGUAACGGCCCACCAAACCGACGAUGGAUAGGGGUUCUGAGAGGAAGGUCCCCCACAUUGGUACUGAGACACGGACCAAACUCCUACGGGAGGCAGCAGUGAGGAAUAUUGGUCAAUGGCCGAGAGGCUGAACCAGCCAAGUCGCGUGAGGGAUGAAGGUUCUAUGGAUCGUAAACCUCUUUUAUAAGGGAAUAAAGUGCGGGACGUGUCCCGUUUUGUAUGUACCUUAUGAAUAAGGAUCGGCUAACUCCGUGCCAGCAGCCGCGGUAAUACGGAGGAUCCGAGCGUUAUCCGGAUUUAUUGGGUUUAAAGGGUGCGUAGGCGGCCUUUUAAGUCAGCGGUGAAAGUCUGUGGCUCAACCAUAGAAUUGCCGUUGAAACUGGGGGGCUUGAGUAUGUUUGAGGCAGGCGGAAUGCGUGGUGUAGCGGUGAAAUGCAUAGAUAUCACGCAGAACCCCGAUUGCGAAGGCAGCCUGCCAAGCCAUUACUGACGCUGAUGCACGAAAGCGUGGGGAUCAAACAGGAUUAGAUACCCUGGUAGUCCACGCAGUAAACGAUGAUCACUAGCUGUUUGCGAUACACUGUAAGCGGCACAGCGAAAGCGUUAAGUGAUCCACCUGGGGAGUACGCCGGCAACGGUGAAACUCAAAGGAAUUGACGGGGGCCCGCACAAGCGGAGGAACAUGUGGUUUAAUUCGAUGAUACGCGAGGAACCUUACCCGGGUUUGAACGCAUUCGGACCGAGGUGGAAACACCUUUUCUAGCAAUAGCCGUUUGCGAGGUGCUGCAUGGUUGUCGUCAGCUCGUGCCGUGAGGUGUCGGCUUAAGUGCCAUAACGAGCGCAACCCUUGCCACUGGUUACUAACAGGUAAAGCUGAGGACUCUGGUGGGACUGCCAGCGUAAGCUGCGAGGAAGGCGGGGAUGACGUCAAAUCAGCACGGCCCUUACAUCCGGGGCGACACACGUGUUACAAUGGCGUGGACAAAGGGAAGCCACCUGGCGACAGGGAGCGAAUCCCCAAACCACGUCUCAGUUCGGAUCGGAGUCUGCAACCCGACUCCGUGAAGCUGGAUUCGCUAGUAAUCGCGCAUCAGCCAUGGCGCGGUGAAUACGUUCCCGGGCCUUGUACACACCGCCCGUCAAGCCAUGGGAGCCGGGGGUACCUGAAGUCCGUAACCGCGAGGAUCGGCCUAGGGUAAAACUGGUGACUGGGGCU